AAAUUGAAGAGUUUGAUCAUGGCUCAGAUUGAACGCUGGCGGCAGGCCUAACACAUGCAAGUCGAACGGUAACAGGAAGCAGCUUGCUGCUUUGCUGACGAGUGGCGGACGGGUGAGUAAUGUCUGGGAAACUGCCUGAUGGAGGGGGAUAACUACUGGAAACGGUAGCUAAUACCGCAUAACGUCGCAAGACCAAAGAGGGGGACCUUCGGGCCUCUUGCCAUCGGAUGUGCCCAGAUGGGAUUAGCUAGUAGGUGGGGUAACGGCUCACCUAGGCGACGAUCCCUAGCUGGUCUGAGAGGAUGACCAGCCACACUGGAACUGAGACACGGUCCAGACUCCUACGGGAGGCAGCAGUGGGGAAUAUUGCACAAUGGGCGCAAGCCUGAUGCAGCCAUGCCGCGUGUAUGAAGAAGGCCUUCGGGUUGUAAAGUACUUUCAGCGGGGAGGAAGGUGUUGAGGUUAAUAACCUCAGCAAUUGACGUUACCCGCAGAAGAAGCACCGGCUAACUCCGUGCCAGCAGCCGCGGUAAUACGGAGGGUGCAAGCGUUAAUCGGAAUUACUGGGCGUAAAGCGCACGCAGGCGGUCUGUCAAGUCGGAUG
rnacentral:rRNA from 2 species